UUACCCCGGUUCCCUAUAUGGCCCCCUCAAGGAUUGAAUUUACAACCCUGGGUUUAGCAGGCCAAUGCUCAAACAUUUGAUUAUGCUGAUAACUGCCUGGGGUGUCAAUGUGUUUUUUGUCUCUGAAAAACCAGUUAGGGCCUGCUUUUUUUUAACUUUGGAGCAUGUCACAGCAAUGUUAUGCAGUGUAGAAUCUUACAACUUUACAUACAAUGUUACCACGCACAUUUUACCAGGACAAUAAUGUUCAGCAGAUUGUGUCCAAAUAAUCUCACUUUUUUUACAAAAUGUAUCAUAGUCUUUUAAAAAGGAUGAACAUGGAGGUAGAGUCUGUCACACUGCUAUACUGCUUUCACAACCAUGUAGGCACACUCAGACUAUCCCACCAGGCCAAAUGUUUUAAUACAUAGACUCAUGAGGGGUAUUCUUGCUACUACUUACACCAAUCUGCAUGUUGUUAUCAAAAGGAUCUUUUUAAUAUAUUAAAGGUUUAUAACUGCAUGUGUGAUAUUUAGUACACUUUUUUUGUGAUCCUUUACCUCAUCUGGUGCAGAAUGAUACAAAGUGGAUAUUUGGAUGAUCACAUGGUGAAUUAUAACAACUGCAGGGAUAUUUGUGUAUUUAUGUAAACAGAAAAUACUGCAUGUCUUUAUGCAAUGAUUCUAAACCUUGUUCAUUCCCUGGUUUGGAGAGAGAGACACUUUCCUCAUUGGCAGUUGUCUAUUUGUGCUUAGAAGGAUUGAUUUAACACAGCUCACCAGAAAUAAAGCCCCCAGUCCACACCACCCCUGAAGCUAAACUCUUGGAUAUUUAAAAAUUGUGGCGAAGAGAGGAUAUAAAUUUUUUUAAAAUGAAAAUCCCAGAGAUUUUACUGAUCUCUUCAUAAUUGAGUAACAAAUAUAUAGUUAUAUAGAAAAAUUGGAGAGGGCGGGCAACCUGUCUAUUUAUACUACUUCUAAGUGACCUAUACUGUUUUACUUUAAUAGCACUGACACUAUAAAAAUGCCAAAUGAUUGAAUCUUUGUAGCAUAUUGUAAAUGUUAAUAUUUAUUAGCAGUACUUUAGAAAUCUGGUAUAUUUUCCCUUGGUCUUUGUAAAUAUUGCUCUUACCUUAAAAAGUGGGUUGGGUUUGGUUUGGUUUUAAGGACAAACUUUGUUUGCAAACUGAAUUAUAUCUGGUGGAUUAAAUAAAUCCUGAAAAUAUUUGCUCAAUCCUGCAGUUUUUCUGCGUGCAGAAUUCCUUUGGUCUUUGAGAAUGUAUAUGGAUUACAGGAUUGGGCCCUUGCUCAUUCAAAAUAAGACCACACUGCAUUGUAGUGAUUUCAAACAGCUGUGCAAUAUUGACACCACUCAUAGGUUCAUCAAUAUUUUAAUGGCUCAAAAUGUUAAUCAAAAUAUUUUGAGAGGAUUUGUAAUAGCAAAUAUCAAUAGUAUCUGUCUGGCCAUUAAAAUUAAAUGGCAUUAAAAAAGUGCACGUACCUUUUAAAAGAAACAAAUCUUUUCUAUGUUGGGAAAAAUAUGUAGGAUAUAUUUCAAUUAUUUUAGUGUCCUUUGUACGAAAUCACAACUCUCAAGGAACUUAAGGUUUUAUUUUCUGUUUAUAAAAUAGAGCAAAUGUAAUAAAGAAUCGUUUGAAAUCCCUCCUGACAUUUGUUGUCUUUUAAUUUUUUUCUUCUUGACUGUAUUAUAUAAUAAUCAAAAUGAUUUGAAGGAUUCAAGGUCAGUAUUUUCUUUGUUAGAGAAUGAGAUCUGUUUUUCCUCAUUGCCAGCACAUCUUUUCUUUUCUUCUUUUUUUUUUUCUAAAGUAACUUUUUGUAAAUCCAUGUAUAUGCAGCCUUGAUCCAAAGUCAUUUGAAGUCAGUGGGAAGCUCUUAAGGCUUCUCAUUGACUUCAGUGGGCUUUGGACAUGUACUACUUAUGCCAACUUAGGUGAAAACAAUCAGAACUUAAUAUCUAUGAAUACUGCUAACUAAAAGGUUCUGAGCUCCUGGUGCAUUACAGAUUUGUGGUUUCAUAGAGUCAGUGAUCUUGCUCUGUGUUUACUGGUCUGUAACUCAUCUUUGUGUUCUUUCUUACACUACCUCCGUCCCUACUAUAACAUAGAAAACAAAUAAUAAAUAACCUCCUAUAGAGAAGCUAACAAAUAUAG